UUAGAGUCAAAAGUCAUUCUUGUGUGUAUAAAAUCUGGAUUACGGAACAUAUUUAUUCUUUAGUGUAAGCAGACAAUACAGCAUUUAUUUUCUAACAAUAAAAAGAAAACAAUCUAAGUAUAUUUCUUUUACGCCACUUUAUUCUUCUUCCUUCAAUAUUUAUUUACGGAUGCCAUUUCGACAUCAUUAAUUUUAAAUUAUGUCAUAAAUAUAAAAUGUACAACGUCCGCGAUUUACGCAUGGAUCAUGUUUCCGGAUUUACGCAAUUUACGCGAAUUAAAAUUAAUUCUUCUGUAUCAUUAAAGCAGGAAAAUGCGUUCAGAACAACCCGUAAGGUCAUAGUAAUAAUUCCUGGGUUUAUUUGUUGAAGACAAAUUAAAAUUAGAAUUUUUUUGAAAAUAAUUAACUUGAAUGAGAUGAAGUUAAAUGAAAUUUAUAAGAUUUAUGGGGGAUGACAACCGAAGAGUUGCCUCUGCGAAGGACUUUAUAAACUGGCCUCUAUUUAGGUAUUAAUUCAAGUAAACGGGCGCAAACUCAAGAUCAAUUGCCAGUGUUCAUAUCUUAAUUCAAUCUUUUUAUGCUCGAUGUGAACACGUAGACAGAGAUGGGAAGAGGAUGUGGAGGAUGAUUUGAGAAAGAUGGAAAGGGAAAGCCCAAGAUAGAGAGGAAUGGGUGAAAAUCCUGGAUGAGGCUAAGGUCCUUCAGUGACUAUGAGUGAUGAAGAGAGAGAGAGCGAGAGAGAGAGAGAGAGAGAGAGUGAACACGUAGACCGUUAUUUUAGUUUAUGUGUUUUUCUCGAAUAUCAAAUCACAUUAUAACGUUGGCAAUUACAAAAGUGCUCAAAUAAGGCGUAUAAAUUAUGACAGAAUUAACUUUCACUGCGUGUUAAAAUUAUUUUUAAUAAAUAUUAUUAUUUUAAAUGACUAAUAA